CGCGCACCGAAUCCCCCCCCUCUUCGUCCUUGUGCGUCUUGAUAUUCUAUCGCUGCUUUAUCCGACGCUGUCGUUGUCAGCGCGUGUGCACACGCACGCGCCUCGUUGGCACAGCGCAGUCGCCCUUGUGGCCGUCGGUACUUCUGGUAUGCGGAAGCAACGACCUGCCUCUCUCCCACCCACGAGCUUCCCCCCUCUCUCACACACACAUCGAGCCGCAGGAUAUCAGCACAAGUGCACACGUCCAGGCAGCACGGUGUGUGCUGCGAGAGAAGUAGAGUACAAACGCGUCCACAGUCGACCAGUCGUUUGGUUCGCCGUAGAGAAGCGGCGCAUGCUCAGCAGGAGCAGCGCAUCAGCUUUUGCUUGUGCUCCCACCCCCCUCUACCCCGCUCCUCCUCCACCAUAUCCUGUAAUCCGGUCUUUUAUGCUUCACGAUCAUGACGACGGUGCAGACGAAGCCGCUGGCGUCGAAGCCCGCAGCGGUGGCAGCAGCAGCAGCACCGCCAAGAACGCUUAAGCGGCGGCGCCUGGUGGUCAGCCCAACACCAUCAGCGCCAACGAACGCGCCUGAUGUCAUGAACGCAUACACGACUGCCCCAGGCGCAAGUGGACGUCGUGCAGUGGGCGCCACAGGGAACGCGAACCCUCCCAAGAGGCACCAACGCGACUCAGAGAAGCCGCUGCUAAACUUGUUCACAUCCUCGCUGCCGUAUAUGGCGGCCUCCGACAAGAAGGCGGAGAUCGAGCGGCAGCAGCGCAAGCGUGCACCUGCAGCGGUACAGACAUUCCUGAGUGAUGCGCCUCAUUCCGUCACUACAAGGGCGUCGGUCGUGUGUGCAGCCCAGCCGCUUUCCAGUCGGGUGGACGUGAACAGUGGUCGCACGCUUCCCCCGCACGAGGAGGCGCCGCUUCUGCUGGGGCAACGGCAUGAGCUAAAGGUACCGAAUGCCUCUGCAGCGUGUCUGCCCGACGCCGACCGAGGGCCGUCAGAGAUGCCGCGAGGGCCCACGAAAAAGGAGCUCGCUGCGGUGGCAGCCGAUGCACGGCAGCAACUCGGACAGCCGACCUACGUCGCCCUCACAGCCCGGCAAGUCGCGGCGGCGCAGCGCUGGCAGCAAUCGCACCACUACGAUCACAUUGUGAAGGGCCUGCAUGAGCGACUAGGUGUGGUGAAGCCCAUGCCGCAGGGAACGAGAGAAGAAAAGAACGUGCUUGCGAAGCCGCUGGAGGUGGCUGCGGACGUGACGGACAAGGUCAUGGCACUGCGGCAGGCCGAGAUGGCGGAAAUGGUCGCGCGGCUGCGUCGCAUGGUUUCGGAGGCCAACAUCACCGGCGUUCCCAUCAUCCCCGUGGCCUCCCUCGGCGCCUCCGGCAACCCAUGUCCGUGGUGUCAAUACUGCAUCGAGCUGACGUCCGAGGAGACCAUCAAGGAGUACCUGAUCGCUGCGCUGCAGGUGCUCUUGUCGGAGCGGGUGGUAGCACCCAUGGCCGGCCGAUGCGGACCUACAUCCGUGAGGAGCAGCGCCCUCUCGGGGAAUGCGACGACGCUGGACUCCUUCCGGGCUCACCCAAGUCGCGCACACAAACGGCCGGCGGAGGCAGGAGCCCCGUCGCGGUACUCGGUGCCGCAGUGCUUCCGCAUAGAGCUGGUCCCGUUUGGUUUACACAAGGUGUCUAUUCACGUCUCGGUGCACAGAAACCUUGUCGAGCACUUCUUCCAGGCGCACGCACGGCAGCAGGAGCACCUCCGCUCCCCCCUCAUCGAUCCACCGUUUCCGCGGGAGUUUGCCGAGUGGACGGACGCGCACCGGCAGCGACUGCUGCACCGCGUUCUCGGCGACCUCCUGCACGGUGGCGCCACCCCGGUCGUCCCAGCGGACCUCAAGACGAUAGCGCGCUUCCCUGCCCACGACAGCGCCACUCGCGACGCGCUGUGGAGCUCUGUAUGGUCCGCACGCUCUCUGGCGGGGUGGCUGACCAUUUCUGAGGACGCCGUCGCCAGUUACCUCGGCGAGGAGGUCAUGUUCUUCUACGCCUGGAUGAACCACUAUGCGCGGUGGCUGUUGGGGGCGGGUCUGCUGGGGGUGCUGGUGUCUAUGCUGAGCUCCCUGCGUCUGGUGCCCGACACCGCCGCGGCGGCGGUGCUCGUGCCGGCUGCCUCCUCCUCAAUCACUCUCCGCCGCACCGUGCAGCACUGCCUAGACGUGGCUCUGCUGCCGCUCUUCAGCACGACCAUGAUCAUUGGCAGCGUACUGUGCAUCAAGAUGUGGGAGCGGCGCUGCAGUGCGCUGUGCAUGCGGUACCACCUGUUUCAGCAAGAGGGAAAGGACGUGCUGCGUCACGAUUUUCGCGGCACGCCGGGGACGGACCCCGUGACUGGGGAGCCGCAGUUGUGCUACCCGGCAUGUUAUCGGUUGACUGCCGCACAAUCACUCACCUGGGGCAUUGUUGCCCUCUUCAUGGGCGGCACGCUGGGUCUUAUGGUGUGCUCGCUCAACCUCGACGGGAUGGUCACCGACCCGGCAAGUCGUCUGGCCAUACCGUUUCUGCGGCGCCUCGCGGUGGAUGGCGGCCUGCUGGAUAAGACGGCGCACCCCAUCGCGGGGAUGCUCCCGCCGCUCGCGUACUCCGUGUGCAUUGGCGCGCUGAGCUUCAUCUUCACUGACUUGGCCAAGUACCUGACGCGCAUGGAGAACAACCGCUACCGCGGCGAGUACAUGCGCUCCCUGACGCUGAAACGAGCUGCCUUCGAGUUUGUGAACUCGUACGGCAAGUUGCUCUUCAUCGCCUUUGGGCGCUGCCGCGUCGCGGAGCUGUCCGCCCACCUUCGGUCAAUGUUCUACGUUGCCGUUCUAAGUCGGAUGAUGAGCCACACCGUCAUCCCGUUUGUCGUGACGCAUCGCCGCCGUGUGGUGCGCCGCCUUUUCCGCGCCAGCGGCGGCGAUACCUCGUCAACGCCGUCUGAGGGGUCGCCGUCCACCCCCGCAUCCCUGCGGCGCAGCGCGCACGGCGGCAGCAGCGACUCGCCGCUGGAAGAAGUGGAUGAGAUGCUGGACCUCUACGACAUUUGCAUGGACUUCAUUGAGAUGCUGAUCCAGUUCGGGUACAUCCUACUCUUCGCCGCCGCCUACCCGCUCGCGUCCUUCGUGGCGCUGCUGUCUAACAUCAUCGAGGUCCGCUCCCACCUGUUCAAGAUGUGCUACGUCAUGCGCCGACCGGUGCCGCGGCUGGGGGUGCAGCAGAACGCGACGUGGUGCGGCAUCAUGCGCGGCUGUGUCAUCGCCGCCGUCAUCACGAACACGUUUCUGCUAGCCCUCACGUCCCAUCAGACGGUGCGGUGGUUCCCCGAGUACUUCACUGCGACCGGCACGUUAGGCAAGCAACACACCAGUGGCAGGGUGGAGCUGAGGAGCGGCGGCAGCGCGGCAGCGGCAGCAACCGCAAAUCUGAAUCGCGGCGUGAGCCUUGCCGUGGCGGGGCUGGAGAUGGUGCCGAGCAAGGGGCACUUCGUCGUCUUUUACUGCAUGGUGAUGGAGUACGUGAUGUGCCUGAUCGCCGUCUUCCUGCUCUGGUGCAUCCCGUCGACACCGCGCGAAGUGCGCUACUACAAAACACGAAAACUCUACGAGCGUGUGUCACUGCAGUAGGCGGACCUAGCAGACCCUGGCGUGCCGCGUGCAUCUGACGGUUCACCACUGCCACCCACUCACCCACCCACUUCACUGGCCGCUGCCUCCCCCUGCCCUCUGUGUCUUUCAUGAGUUGCGCUGCUGCGUUGAUGCAGGCAUUACCCAGCACGGACCCUCCCUCUCACUGGCCUUGCCGUCUGUGCAUGUUGUCUGUGCAUGCGUGCCUUCUCUUCCUGUCCUGCCCGCUGUGUCUCACGGCAGCACGCGCACGCGCAUACCCCUCUGCACUACAAUCGUGCUCAUGUUGUCGGCCUCCGCACCUCGCCGAG
rnacentral:misc_RNA from 1 species